rnacentral:rRNA from 1 species
UACGAAGGGGGCGAGCGUUGUUCGGAUUUACUGGGCGUAAAGGGCUCGUAGGCGGCCAACUAAGUCGGAUGUGAAAUCCCCAGGCUCAACUUGGGAACUGCAUCCGAUACUGGAUGGCUUGAAUUCGGGAGAGGGAUGCAGAAUUCCAGGUGUAGCGGUGAAAUGCGUAGAUAUCUGGAGGAAUACCGGUGGCGAAGGCGGCAUCCUGGACCGACAUUGACGCUGAGGAGCGGAAAGCUAGGGGAGCAAACGGGGAUUAAGAAA